CAAACCAGGAUUUAGAUUACCCCUGGUAGUUCCACGCCUUAAACGAUGAAUGUUUAGUCGUCGGAGAGCUUCGUCUGUUCGGUGAUGCAGCUAACGCAUUAAAACAUUCCGCCUGGGGAGUACGGUCGCAAGAUUAANANUCAAAGGAAUAGACGGGGACCCGCACAAGUGGUGGAGCAGGUGGUUUAAUUCGAAGAUACGCGAAGAACCUUACCUGGCCUUGACAUUGAUAGAAUCUGCUAGAGAUAGCGGAGUACCCUUCGGGGAGCUUGAAAACAGGUUCUGCACGGCUGUCGUCAGCUCGUGUCGUGAGAUGUUGGGUUAAGUCCCGCAACGAGCGCAACCCUCGUCACUAGUUACUAACGGUUCGGCUGAGGACUCUAGUGAGACUGCCUUCGUAAGGAGGAGGAAGGUGAGGACGACGUCCAGUCAUCAUGGCCCUUACGGCCAGGGCGACACACGUGCUACAAUGGGAUGUACAAUGAUGACGCAAUACCGCGAGGUGGAGCAAAUCUAUAAAACAUCUCUCAGUUCGGAUUGUAGUCUGCAACUCGACUACAUGAAGCUGGAAUCACUAGUAAUCGUAGAUCAGCCAUGCUACGCUGAAUACGUUCCCGGGUCUUGUACUCACCGCCCGUCACACCACUGGGAGUUGAUUUCACCCGA
rnacentral:rRNA from 1 species